AGAAACAUGGCUUGAACUGACUUGUGUUUUUCUAAGGCAGAGCUUAUAACGUGGGUGGCAGGUGUUAUUUUUUACGGUUAAGGAAGCAGCUCAAGGGCAAACAUUAAUAAAUACAAAAUAACCCCACUUCUAUUAACAUUAAUGGAUUAACAUGAACCUCCGUAAAAUGAAAAUAUAAAGAUAAAAAUGGUUCAUAGAGGGCUCAUAGGGGACUAACUCUUGUUGUUCUGAGGCAGAGCUUGUAACAUGGGUGGAAGUCAUUGUAUCUGAAGGUAUAAUUGAUGGGUCAAAUGUCAAAUGAAAUAGAUAAAAAAUAGCUCACAGAAGAUUCAAAGGGAACAUGGUCUGGCUAACUCAUAUUAUUCCAUUGUCAUUGUAUCUGAUAACUAAGGUGUAUAAGCUACUCAUCAAACAUAAACAAAAGAUAUUAGUACUCGCAGUAGUUAACAGUCUUAUCAAACCGAAUUUUCAUUGUUUUAGUGGUUAAAAAAUCAUUAAUCAAAUAGCAAUGAAAUAACAUAGAAAAACUCAACAAGAUCUAUGAGAAGUGUUCGGUUCGUCACCAUCGUCGGCCUGUACCAUUCCACCGCAGGACACACUAAGGCCUCUCCAGAGCAUGUCCAAUCAUUCCCGUCUUUCGCCUCGAGUUCCCGGUUUCGACAUUAGCAUUCCACUUUCUUUUAUCCCUCCGUUUAAUGAGUGGGUUUCCUUCCCUUCAAUCUGUUCAUGCUUUGAUCAAUCUGAUAUUUCCCCAGUUGAAGGUUUACCGUAGCUCCUGUAUGUACUCCGAUCAAUUUUUCAAGAGUAGAUUUUCCUUGUAUUUCCAUUCCACUCUCUUAUUUCUCUCUCUCCAUCGGGCGAGUGGCUUUCCUUCCCUUCAAUCUGUUCAUGCUUUGAUUAAUCUGAUAUUUCCCAAGUUGAAGGUUUACCGUAGCUCCCGUAUGUACUCCGAUCAAUUUUUCAAGAGUAGAUUUUCCUUGUAUUUCCAUUCCACUUUCUUAUUUCUCUCUCUCCAUCGGGCGAGUGGCUUUCCUUCCCUUCAAUCUGUGCAUACUUUGAUGACCCUGAUAUUUACUGUACCUCCUGUAAGCUCUGAUCAGUUUUUCAAGAAUGGUUUUUCCUUAUAUUUCAGACAUUCAGAGGUGAAGGGAUGGGUGGGACAGAGCCAUUUUGAUUUAGUCUGCACUGGGAGAGGCAGACU